UACGGAGGGGGCUAGCGUUGUUCGGAAUUACUGGGCGUAAAGCGUACGUAGGCGGAUUGUUAAGUGAGGGGUGAAAUCCCGAGGCUCAACCUCGGAACUGCCUUUCAUACUGGCAAUCUUGAGUCCGGGAGAGGUGAGUGGAACUCCUAGUGUAGAGGUGAAAUUCGUAGAUAUUAGGAAGAACACCAGUGGCGAAGGCGGCUCACUGGCCCGGAACUGACGCUGAGGUACGAAAGCGUGGGGAGCAAACAGG
rnacentral:rRNA from 1 species